rnacentral:rRNA from 1 species
AUGUUGGCUCAGAAGCAGCCACUCAUUUAAAGAGUGCGUAACAGCUCACUAGUCGAGAGGUCUAGCGCCGAAAAUGUCCGGGGCUAAAACACACCACCGAAGCUACGGAAUUACCUAUGGUAAUUGGUAGAGGAGCAUUCUGUAAGGAUGAAGCACAAUUGAAAGAGAGUGUGGACGAAACAGAAGAGAGAAUGCCGGAAUGAGUAGCGAGAUAUAUGUGAGAAUCAUAUAGGUCGAAUGUCUAAGGUUUCCUGGGUAAAGCUGAUCUGCUCAGGGUAAGUCGGGACCUAAGGUGAGGGCGAGAGCCGUAAUCGAUGGACAACAGGUAGAAAUUCCUGUACUACGUAUAAUCAGAACUGUGGGGACGCAGGAGGAUAGGAAAACCGGAGAAUGGAAAAAUCCGGCUAAGUACAAAGGUGUGAGUGAUAGGCAAAUCCGUCACUAUUAGCUGAAGUACGAAUGGGAGCGAAGAAAAGUAGCGAAGUUUCUGAAUCCACACUGUCAAGAAAAGCCGCUAUUGCGUUAUACGUACCCGUACCGCAAACCGACACAGGUAGACGAGGAGAAAAUCCACAGACCGACGGGAGAAGUGUUGUUAAGGAACUCGGCAAAAUGACCCCGUAACUUAGGGAUAAGGGGAGCCACGCAAGUGGUCACAGAAAAGAGGCUCAAGCGACUGUUUAGCAAAAACAUAGGUCUAUGCGAAACCGUAAGGUGAUGUAUAUGGGCUGACACCUGCCCGGUGCUGGAAGGUCAAAAGGAGAGGUUAGCGUAAGCGAAGCUUUGAAUUCAAGCCCCAGUAAACGGCGGCCGUAACUAUAACGGUCCUAAGGUAGCGAAAUUCCUUGUCAGGUAAGUUCUGACCCGCACGAAAGGUGUAACGAUUUGAGCACUGUCUCGACAACACGCCCGGUGAAAUUGAAGAACCAGUGAAGAUACUGGUUACCCGCAACAGGACGGAAAGACCCCAUGGAGCUUUACUGCAGCUUAAUAUUGGGAUUCGGUAUUGUAUGUACAGGAUAGGAGGGAGACUAAGAAGCUAGCACGCCAGUGUUGGUGGAGUCGAUGGUGGGAUACCUCUCUUAUAAUACUGAAUUUCUAACCUACUUCCGUGAUCCGGAAGA